UAAGGGCGCACGGUGGAUGCCUUGGCACUAGAAGCCGAUGAAGGACGUUACUAACGACGAUAUGCUUUGGGGAGCUGUAAGUAAGCUUUGAUCCAGAGAUUUCCGAAUGGGGAAACCCAGCAUGAGUUAUGUCAUGUUAUCGAUAUGUGAAUACAUAGCAUAUCAGAAGGCACACCCGGAGAACUGAAACAUCUUAGUACCCGGAGGAAGAGAAAGAAAAUUCGAUUCCCUUAGUAGCGGCGAGCGAAACGGGAAGAGCCCAAACCAAAAAGCUUGCUUGUUGGGGUUGUAGGACACUCUAUACGGAGUUACAAAGGACGACAUUAGACGAAUCAUCUGGAAAGAUGAAUCAAAGAAGGUAAUAAUCCUGUAGUCGAAAAUGUUGUCUCUCUUGAGUGGAUCCUGAGUACGACGGAGCACGUGAAAUUCCGUCGGAAUCUGGGAGGACCAUCUCCUAAGGCUAAAUACUCUCUAGUGACCGAUAGUGAACCAGUACCGUGAGGGAAAGGUGAAAAGCACCCCGG
rnacentral:rRNA from 1 species